rnacentral:rRNA from 1 species
GUAGGAGGCAAGCGUUGUCCGGAUUUACUGGGCGUAAAGGGCUCGCAGGCGGUUCGCCAAGUCUGGUGUGAAAUCUCCCGGCUUAACCGGGAGGGUGCAUUGGAAACUGGCGGACUUGAGGGCAUCAGGGGAGAGUGGAAUUCCAGGUGUAGUGGUGAAAUGCGUAGAUAUCUGGAAGAACACCAGUGGCGAAGGCGGCUCUCUGGGGUGCAUCUGACGCUGAGGAGCGAAAGCGUGGGGAGCGAACCGGGAUUAGAUACCCGGGUAGUCCACGCCCUAAGCGAUGAUAACUAGGUGUUGGGGGUAUCGACCCCCCUCAGUGCCGAAGCUAACGCGAUAAGUUAUCCGCCUGGGGACUACGGCCGCAAGGCUA